rnacentral:rRNA from 1 species
GAGGACGACCAUAGUAAGCAGGAAACACCUGUUCCCAUCCCGAACACAGAAGUUAAGCUGCUUACGUCAUGCAUUGUACUGGCUUCGGCCGGGAAGUGCAUGAGUCGUCCUCC